UAACCUCCAUGGAGUGGCUGGUCCCCAGGCUGAGCUGGGCAAGUAUCUCUUCGAAAGGCUCACCCUCAGGCAUGACUAAGAGC
rnacentral:pre_miRNA from 1 species